rnacentral:rRNA from 1 species
UACACUCCUGCGGGAGGCAGCAGUGGGGAAUUUUGGACAAUGGGCGAAAGCCUGAUCCAGCCAUGCCGCGUGCAGGAUGAAGGCCUUCGGGUUGUAAACUGCUUUUGUACGGAACGAAACGGCCUUUUCUAAUAAAGAGGGCUAAUGACGGUACCGUAAGAAUAAGCACCGGCUAACUACGUGCCAGCAGCCGCGGUAAUACGUAGGGUGCAAGCGUUAAUCGGAAUUACUGGGCGUAAAGCGUGCGCAGGCGGUUAUGUAAGACAGUUGUGAAAUCCCCGGGCUCAACCUGGGAACUGCAUCUGUGACUGCAUAGCUAGAGUACGGUAGAGGGGGAUGGAAUUCCGCGUGUAGCAGUGAAAUGCGUAGAUAUGCGGAGGAACACCGAUGGCGAAGGCAAUCCCCUGGACCUGUACUGACGCUCAUGCACGAAAGCGUGGGGAGCAAACAGGAUUAGAAACCCGAGUAGUCCCAUG